UCGCUUGGGGUUCCUGAUCAUCGGAUAGAGCAGAGAACUGGCAACGAAUGUGUGAUCUGCGCAUGCUCCAUGCACAACUCGCUCGCGUCAUUCGUUAACGGACCUUCGUUCACUCAAGAAAGUAGAGCGACGUCGCGUGUGGAUGUUCAUUUUUACCUCUUAAAAGAUGCCAUCAGCUUCCUUUUGGCACCGUUUUCGCCAUCUUGGUUUGUGGUCGCGUGCAAAUCUUCAAAAUGAGGCAUUACCGCUCUUCAGUGCCUAUCAACUAUUUGUUUAGUUGAUGUGCAAGUACUCUUUGAGCUAUCACUGUCCGAAUGCUUCACGGUAGAUUUACUUCAUCAGGGGCCAGGAAAAUUACAAUGGACACAUGUCAUUAUGUUUCUGUUCUCCAAUGGCCAUGUAUACCUAGCCCAACCUGUUUAGUGACAGCUUCUUGUUUCAUUUCAACAUUCCAAUUUUAAUAUUGCAAUAACUUGGGAUGAUGACAUGAUAAUAAAAAUGAUCAACUAAAUUGUAAAAAAAUAUUUCUAUUUAUUUUGUAUACUAUUUGUCAUACAGCCCUGGAGAGCACUAGUCUCAAGAGCACCUUGGAAGUUCUCAAUGCAGUAUCAAAACUGGCUUUAUAUUUUUGAACUGCAGUGUUUGGCUCUCCUAUCAAGGCUUUCAAUCACCCUGUUGGCCAAAAGGAAUGAACCUUCUCUGGAGGUUCUGCAUCCAAGCCACAAUCUUUCUCUCCCUGUGUGACACUAUGUUACAACAUGUAAUCAAGAGUAAGAAUAUCAAGGAACUUCUCUUCCUCUUGCUUGACAAUUGAUGUUGAAUUUUUCAUGGCUUUCAGUCUAUGAUUUUUUUUCCAAAAGAGGUUUAAGUUUUACCUUUUUAAAGAUAGUUUUGGAAUUUGGCAAAUCUCACCUUUGAUUUGUGGAGUGUGACUAUUACUCUUUAAUUCAAGGUUAAAGACUGUUGUGGCAUUUACCUCAAAAUGGUUCCUUGUUGACACUUGCAUUGAGAAGUCAUAGUUCUCCAACCAUCUAAGAUAUAAUUUAGCAUCUGAUUGCCUGCACCUCUGCAACUGAGUGAUUCCCUUUCCAUCUAAUUAUGCGUCAUAGCGAUGACCUUUACAUACUCUGCUUCUUUGAGAAACUGUACUUCUUUUUGAAGAAGUCUACCGCAUCAAUGGCAUGGUUUUUGAUUUUUCUAGUUCCUUUUUUUUCUUUGAGAGGUACGCACACACUUUUUCUUUAAGAUAUUAUAUAUGAUGAUACUUCUGAAACAUGGGAAACUAAAAUUCCCAAGUAAUGUGUUUACUUGUAGACAAGGAAAUCUUUGCAUGGGUAUAAAACAGUUCUUUUCGAUGCAGUGUAAAUAAAUAACACUAUGUUGGUUAAAAGGAGGGUCAAUAGCUUGUAAGAGGUGGACAGCAGUGGUAGCCAUUUUGCUGUCUUGGUUACAAACAACCUGGUCAUGCAAGCAGUUGAUAAUAUUAUUUGCGCACACAAAACAUGGGAGGUUUCAAUCCUGCUUGGGGAAGUCCAGUCCAUUCCAUUUCAUUAUUUGAAUAAUUAUAAUUGUUUGCUAUUUUAU